rnacentral:rRNA from 1 species
GAUGAACGCUGGCGGCGUGCCUAAUACAUGCAAGUCGAGCGAACAGACGAGGAGCUUGCUCCUUCGACGUUAGCGGCGGACGGGUGAGUAACACGUAGAUAACCUACCUAUAAGACUGGGAUAACUUCGGGAAACCGGAGCUAAUACCGGAUAAUAUUUCGAACCGCAUGGUUCGAUAGUGAAAGAUGGCUUUGCUGUCACUUAUAGAUGGAUCUGCGCCGUAUUAGCUAGUUGGUAAGGUAACGGCUUACCAAGGCAACGAUACGUAGCCGACCUGAGAGGGUGAUCGGCCACACUGGAACUGAGACACGGUCCAGACUCCUACGGGAGGCAGCAGUAGGGAAUCUUCCGCAAUGGGCGAAAGCCUGACGGAGCAACGCCGCGUGAGUGAUGAAGGUCUUCGGAUCGUAAAACUCUGUUAUCAGGGAAGAACAAACGUGUAAGUAACUGUGCACGUCUUGACGGUACCUAAUCAGAAAGCCACGGCUAACUACGUG